GGAUAUGAGGGCGAUCAGGUUGCCCAGGCAGGUGUGGCCUUCCUCCCUCAUCACUCCGUGUGCAUCCCGCCCAAAGCUGUUUUCUGGGUUAAAGAGGAUGACCUUCCCUGCGAGAGGAGGAGCAUUCUUCUUAGGUCAAGGGUAUAUGAGUAGCUUGGCUGCCCUGCUAGACAGGAAGAGUAAUCUGCAAAUUGGAACAAGGCCAGUUUGCAGACACAGUGGUGGGAGAGGGGUACAGGACCAAAAGUGAGGCUGUAUUUUUCCAUUUGAAAAAUCUAU
rnacentral:sRNA from 1 species